AAGUCGUAACAAGGUUUCCGUAGGUGAACCUGCGGAAGGAUCAUUACAAGGUUCUUAAGUGGACAUCUCGAAAGAGAUCCCUUCCCAAGUAUCCCACCCGUGUCUAUCAUACUCUUGUUGCUUUGGCGGGGCGUGGCUCCCUCGGGCUCUUGCUCGUACGGUACCCGCCAGAGGAUCCAAACUCUGAAUUGUUACGUGAUGUCUGAGUACUAUAUAAUAGGUUAAAAC
rnacentral:misc_RNA from 1 species